rnacentral:miRNA from 1 species
UUGAACUGAAGGGAGCUCCC